rnacentral:rRNA from 1 species
UACGAGGGGGGCGAGCGUUGUUCGGAAUUAUUGGGCGUAAAGGGUGCGUAGGCGGUUCCGCAAGUCCUGUGUGAAAUCUUCGGGCUCAACUCGAAGUCUGCACGGGAAACUGCGGGGCUUGAGUGUGGGAGAGGUGAGUGGAAUUCCUGGUGUAGCGGUGAAAUGCGCAGAUAUCAGGAGGAACACCGGUGGCGAAGGCGGGUCUCUGGGCAGUAACUGACGCUGAGGAGCGAAAGCGUGGGGAGCGAACAGG